CUUACUUUUUCAUCUGUGUUUAGCCCUAACACAGAACCGAACAGACAGAUGCGAGACAGAGAGAGAGAGCGACGGAGAGACGGUGGAACACGACGGAGAGAGAUGGUGGAGGGACGCGACGAGGUUAUUAAUCUAAACACUUGUGAUGUAACUGGAGGUUUGGAGACAAGUCAACAAUUUAGGUGAGGGUUUGGGCAGAUGCUAUCAACUUGUGACCAGUUGCAAGAAGAAGAUGAUGUUUGAUACUUUAAACUAUUAGAUGGGCUACUAAUUGAUGGAUGGGAAUUCAACUGAGCUAAUUAGUUUUUGGUUUGUUAGAAUUAAUGUUUAGGUGGUGUUGUUUAGUCUGUUUUUUUGUUGUCUAUGGUAAUUGAUAUGUUUAUACAUUGGUAUUGAACAUCAAUCUGUUACAAUUUUGUUUGGCUAUUCAUGAAGAUAUAACUUAAUUGAUUUGUGAGUUUAAUGUUUCCAGUUUCUU